AUAACACUUGGAAACAGGUGCUAAUACCGCAUAACCAUAACAACCGCAUGGUUGUUAUGUAAAAGAUGGUUUUGCUAUCACUUUUGGAUGGACCCGCGGCGUAUUAGCUAGUUGGUAAGGUAAAGGCUUACCAAGGCGAUGAUACGUAGCCGAACUGAGAGGUUGAUCGGCCACAUUGGGACUGAGACACGGCCCAAACUCCUACGGGAGGCAGCAGUAGGGAAUCUUCCACAAUGGACGAAAGUCUGAUGGAGCAACGCCGCGUGAGUGAAGAAGGUCUUCGGAUCGUAAAACUCUGUUGUCAGAGAAGAACGUGUGCGAGAGUAACUGUUCGUGCAGUGACGGUAUCUGGCCAGAAAGCCACGGCUAACUACGUGCCAGCAGCCGCGGUAAUACGUAGGUGGCAAGCGUUGUCCGGAUUUAUUGGGCGUAAAGGGAACGCAGGCGGUCUUUUAAGUCUGAUGUGAAAGCCUUCGGCUUAACCGAAGUCGUGCAUUGGAAACUGGGAGACUUGAGUGCAGAAGAGGAGAGUGGAACUCCAUGUGUAGCGGUGAAAUGCGUAGAUAUAUGGAAGAACACCAGUGGCGAAAGCGGCUCUCUGGUCUGUAACUGACGCUGAGGUUCGAAAGCGUGGGUAGCAAACAGGAUUAGAUACCCUGGUAGUCCACGCCGUAAACGAUGAGUACUAGGUGUAAGGAGGUAUCGACCCCUUCUGUGCCGCAGCAAACGCAAUAAGUACUCCGCCUGGGAAGUACGAUCGCAA
rnacentral:rRNA from 1 species